rnacentral:rRNA from 1 species
UACGGAGGGUGCAAGCGUUAUCCGGAUUCACUGGGUUUAAAGGGUGCGUAGGCGGGCAGGUAAGUCAGUGGUGAAAUCCCCGAGCUUAACUUGGGAACUGCCGUUGAUACUAUCUGUCUUGAAUACCGUGGAGAUGAGCGGAAUAUGUCAUGUAGCGGUGAAAUGCUUAGAUAUGGCAUAGAACACCAAUUGCGAAGGCAGCUCGUUAGACGAAUAUUGACGCUGAGGCACGAAAGCGUGGGGAUCAAACAGG